UACGUAGGGGGCAAGCGUUAUCCGGAAUUACUGGGUGUAAAGGGUGAGUAGGCGGCACGGCAAGUAAGAUGUGAAAGCCCACAGCUUAACUGUGGGAUUGCAUUUUAAACUGUUGAGCUAGAGUACAGGAGAGGAAAGCGGAAUUCCUAGUGUAGCGGUGAAAUGCGUAGAUAUUAGGAAGAACACCAGUGGCGAAGGCGGCUUUCUGGACUGGAAACUGACGCUGAGGCACGAAAGCGUGGGGAGCGAACAGG
rnacentral:rRNA from 1 species